UGCCAGCCGCCGCGGUAAUACGGAGUGUGCAAGCGUUGUUCGGAAUCACUGGGCGUAAAGCGCGCGUAGGCGGCAAGGUAAGUCAGAUGUGAAAUCCCUCGGCUCAACCGAGGAACUGCAUUUGAAACUGCCUGGCUUGAGUACGGGAGGGGAGAGCGGAAUUCCCAGUGUAGAGGUGAAAUUCGUAGAUAUUGGGAGGAACACCAGCGGCGAAGGCGACUAACUGGACUGAUACUGACGCUGAGGUGCGAAAGUGUGGGGAGCAAACAGGAUUAGAUA
rnacentral:rRNA from 1 species